rnacentral:rRNA from 1 species
AAGGUAGCAUAAUCAUUUGUCUUUUAAUUGGAGACUGGUAUGAAUGGCUAAACGAGAAAUUGACUUUUUUUAUUAUUAUAGUUGAACUUAAUUUUUUAGUGAAAAAGCUAAAAUUUUUCAGAAAGACGAGAAGACCCUAUAGAGUUUUAUGUCUAAAAAUUUAUUUUCUAAUUUGAUUUUUAAAGAUUAUAAAUAGUAAGACAUUUUGUUGGGGCGACAUUAAGAUAUAUAAAACUCUUUAUUUUAUAAAUUUUUAUAAAAAGCUUUUUUGAUCCUCUAUAAGAGAUCAAAAGAAAAAAUUACCUUAGGGAUAACAGCGUAAUCUUUUUUGAGAGUUCUAAUCGACAAAAAGGUUUGCGACCUCGAUGUUGGACUAAAAUUUAGGCAGGGUGCAGCAGUUCUGCUUUUAGGUCUGUUCGACCUAUAAUAUUUUACACGAUCUGAGUUCAGACCG